GACGAACGCUGGCGGCGUGCUUAACACAUGCAAGUCGAGCGGAAAGGCCCUGCUUGCAGGGUACUCGAGUGGCGAACGGGUGAGUAACACGUGGGUGAUCUGCCCUGUACUUCGGGAUAAGCCUGGGAAACUGGGUCUAAUACCGGAUAGGAGCCAGUUUUAGUGUGAUGGUUGGAAAGUUUUUUCGGUGUAGGAUGAGCUCGCGGCCUAUCAGCUUGUUGGUGGGGUAAUGGCCUACCAAGGCGGCGACGGGUAGCCGGCCUGAGAGGGUGGACGGCCACAUUGGGACUGAGAGACGGCCCAGACUCCUACGGGAGGCAGAAGUGGGGAAGAUUGCACAAUGGGCGCAAGCCUGAUGCAGCGACGCCGCGUGGGGGAUGACGGCCUUCGGGUUGUAAACUCCUUUCGCUAGGGACGAAGCUUUUUGUGACGGUACCUAGAGAAGAAGCACCGGCUAACUACGUG
rnacentral:rRNA from 1 species